CCUACGGGAGGCAGCAGUAGGGAAUCUUCCGCAAUGGACGAAAGUCUGACGGAGCAACGCCGCGUGAACGAUGAAGGCCUUCGGGUCGUAAAGUUCUGUUGUUAGGGAAGAACAAGUGCUAGUUGAAUAAGCUGGCACCUUGACGGUACCUAACCAGAAAGCCACGGCUAACUACGUGCCAGCAGCCGCGGUAAUACGUAGGUGGCAAGCGUUGUCCGGAAUUAUUGGGCGUAAAGCGCGCGCAGGCGGUUUCUUAAGUCUGAUGUGAAAGCCCCCGGCUCAACCGGGGAGGGUCAUUGGAAACUGGGAAACUUGAGUGCAGAAGAGGAAAGUGGAAUUCCAAGUGUAGCGGUGAAAUGCGUAGAGAUUUGGAGGAACACCAGUGGCGAAGGCGACUUUCUGGUCUGUAACUGACGCUGAGGCGCGAAAGCGUGGGGAGCAAACAGGAUUAGAUACCCUGGUAGUCCACGCUGUAAACGAUGAGUGCUAAGUGUUAGAGGGUUUCCGCCCUUUAGUGCUUGAAGUUAACGCAUUAAGCACNCGCCUGGAGUACGUCGCGAGAGNGAACGUAAGAAGUAGAGCGNGAGAGUGCGAGACGACGACGAGGGAGAGG
rnacentral:rRNA from 1 species